rnacentral:rRNA from 1 species
GACGAACGCUGGCGGCGCGCCUAACACAUGCAAGUCGAACGAGCGAGAGAGAGCUUGCUUUCUCGAGCGAGUGGCGAACGGGUGAGUAACGCGUGAGUAACCUGCCUCAAAGAGGGGGACAACAGUUGGAAACGACUGCUAAUACCGCAUAAGCCCACGGGCCGGCAUCGACCAGAGGGAAAAGGAGCAAUCCGCUUUGAGAUGGCCUCGCGUCCGAUUAGCUAGUUGGUGAGGUAACGGCCCACCAAGGCAACGAUCGGUAGCCGGACUGAGAGGUUGAACGGCCACAUUGGGACUGAGACACGGCCCAGACUCCUACGGGAGGCAGCAGUGGGGAAUAUUGCACAAUGGGGGAAACCCUGAUGCAGCGACGCCGGGUGGAGGAAGAAGGUCUUCGGAUUGUAAACUCCUGUUGUUGGGGAAGAUAAUGACGGUACCCAACAAGGAAGUGACGGCUAACUACGUG